rnacentral:tRNA from 1 species
GGAUUAUAGCUCAGUUGGUAGAGUGCUUGCCUCACAUGUACAAGGCCCUGGGUUCAAUUCCCAGUACCA